rnacentral:rRNA from 1 species
GUAGGGGAGCAAGCGUUAUCCGGAUUUACUGGGUGUAAAGGGCGCGCAGGCGGGGAAGACAAGUUGGGGAGUGAAAUCCGGGGGCUCAACCCCCGAACUGCUUUCAAAACUGUUUUUCUUGAGUGAUGGAGAGGCAGGCGGAAUUCCCAGUGUAGCGGUGAAAUGCGUAGAUAUUGGGAGGAACACCAGUGGCGAAGGCGGCCUGCUGGACAUUAACUGACGCUGAGGCGCGAAAGCGUGGGGAGCAAACAGGAUUAGAUACCCUGGUAGUCCACGCCGUAAACGAUGGAUACUAGGUGUGGGAGGUAUUGACCCCUUCCGUGCCGGCGUUAACACAAUAAGUAUCCCACCUGGGGAGUACGAUCGCAAAGGUUG